rnacentral:rRNA from 1 species
GACGAACGCUGACGGUGUGCUUUAGACAUGCAAGUCGAACGAGAAAGCCCUUCGGGUUAGUAAAGUGGCGAACGGGUGAGUAACACGUGGGCAAUCUGCCCCUCGCAGGGGGACAACCGGAGGAAACCCCGGCUAAUACCCCGUAAGUUCAAAGGGAGGCAUCUCCCCUUGAAGAAAGGUAGCUUCGGCCAUCCGGCGAGGGAUGAGCCCGCGGUGCAUUAGCUAGUUGGUGGGGUAACGGCCCACCAAGGCGACGAUGCAUAGCUGGUCUGGGAGGAUGAUCAGCCACACUGGGACUGAGACACGGCCCAGACUCCUACGGGAGGCAGCAGUCGGGAAUCUUGCGCAAUGGGCGAAAGCCUGACGCAGCGACGCCGCGUGAGGGAUGACGGCCU